CUUGGGUACUCGAGUGGCGAACGGGUGAGUAACACGUGGGUGAUCUGCCCUUCACUUCGGGAUAAGCCUGGGAAACUGGGUCUAAUACUGGAUAGGACCAUCGUUUAGUGUCGGUGGUGGAAAGUUUUUUCGGUGGAGGAUGAGCUCGCGGCCUAUCAGCUUGUUGGUGGGGUAAUGGCCUACCAAGGCGACGACGGGUAGCCGGCCUGAGAGGGUGGACGGCCACAUUGGGACUGAGACACGGCCCAG
rnacentral:rRNA from 1 species